rnacentral:rRNA from 1 species
GACGAACGCUGGCGGCGUGCUUGACACAUGCAAGUCGAACGGAAAGGCCCUGCUUUUGUGGGGUGCUCGAGUGGCGAACGGGUGAGUAACACGUGAGUAACCUGCCCUUGACUUUGGGAUAACUUCAGGAAACUGGGGCUAAUACCGGAUAGGAGCUCCUGCUGCAUGGUGGGGGUUGGAAAGUUUCGGCGGUUGGGGAUGGACUCGCGGCUUAUCAGCUUGUUGGUGGGGUAGUGGCUUACCAAGGCUUUGACGGGUAGCCGGCCUGGGAGGGUGACCGGCCCCAUUGGGACUGAGAUACGGCCCAGACUCCUACGGGAGGCAGCGGUGGGGAAUAUUGCACAAUGGGCGGAAGCCUGAUGCAGCAACGCCGCGUGCGGGAUGCCGGCCUUCGGGUUGUAAACCGCUUUCGCCUGUGACGAAGCGUGAGUGACGGUAAUGGGUAAAGAAGCACCGGCUAACUACGUG